GGCGGGCCGUCUCGCAUCUUCAAUUGCGUGAAUCUGGUCAGAUCGGGAACGAAGCAGCCACAACGCUAAUUUGGGAGUGCCGAGGUUUCGGCUCGUUUUU
rnacentral:SRP_RNA from 1 species